GGGGCACCACCAGGAGUGGAGCCUGCUGCUUAAUUUGACUCAACACGGGAAAUCUCACCCGGCCCGGACGCUGGAAGGAUUGACAGAUUGAGAGCUCUUUCUUGAUUCGGUGGGUGGUGGUGCAUGGCCGUUCUUAGGUUGGUGGAGCGAUUUGUCUGGUUAAUUCCGAUAACGAACGAGACUCUGGCCUACUAAAUAGAUGGUCGGCUUUCCCUGGUCGUCGACACUUCUUUAAAGGACAGGUGGCGUUUCCCCACACGAAACAAAACAAUAAAAGGGCUGGGAAGGCCUUUAAUGUCCGGGGGCGGACGGCGGCUAAACUGAAGUGAUUAGGGUGGUGAUUACGGCUACUCAGGCAAGAGUGAGAAACCCAAUGAAUCUUCUUCGGGAGUGGGAUAGGAGAUUGUAAUUAUUCUCCUUGAACGAUGAAUUCCCAGCAAGCGCGAGACAUAAGCUCGCGUUGAUUACCUGCCUGCCCUUUGUACACACCUGCCGAUCCUACUAUCGAUUGGAUUUUUU
rnacentral:rRNA from 1 species